rnacentral:misc_RNA from 1 species
GGCCAAUAGGAAUUAGUAACUAGUAUGGGAAAUAUAGGACAAUUAAUGAAAAUUGCACUAGAUCAUUUGGUGAUUUAAGAAGAAUUUAGAUUUCUUGACAAGUUUGGGUGAAUUUAACAGCUCCAGAAAGAGAGAAAAAGCAAGGGCUGUUAACUAUAAAUUUUCCUUUCACUAAUUUUGCAAAAUAAACUGAAGAAGUUUUGGUGGUAAAGCUUAACUGCCUUAACGAACUGACUGUUGCCAACUUGCCAUUACAUGAAGGCCAAUAACCAUUCUUUUUCUUUACCCGUUAUUUAGUGGAAACUAGUUUUUUUGAACGUGCUAUGCACAUUAUUUAUGCCCAUUACUCGUUAUUUAUUUUAUUUUCAUAUAAUUUUUUGUUAAUUUCUCUCAUAUGUGGUUAUAAGAUAAAAAAUUAUUACUUCAAUCUAAAUGGUAAAAAAAUAAAACAAAUAAAACAGAAAUAAGUUAAAAUUGAAUUUAAAUAAUAAAAAUAAAAAUAUUAGAAUAAUAAUUACCUUUUGAUAAUAAUUAUGAUAAUAAUAAUUAUG